rnacentral:rRNA from 1 species
GAUGAACGCUGGCGGCGUGCCUAAUACAUGCAAGUCGAGCGAAUGGAUUAAGAGCUUGCUCUUAUGAAGUUAGCGGCGGACGGGUGAGUAACACGUGGGUAACCUGCCCAUAAGACUGGGAUAACUCCGGGAAACCGGGGCUAAUACCGGAUAAUAUUCUGAACUGCAUGGUUCAAAAUUGAAAGGCGGCUUCGGCUGUCACUUAUGGAUGGACCCGCGUCGCAUUAGCUAGUUGGUGAGGUAACGGCUCACCAAGGCAACGAUGCGUAGCCGACCUGAGAGGGUGAUCGGCCACACUGGGACUGAGACACGGCCCAGACUCCUACGGGAGGCAGCAGUAGGGAAUCCUCCGCAAUGGACGAAAGUCUGACGGAGCAACGCCGCGUGAGUGAUGAAGGCUUUCGGGUCGUAAAACUCUGUUGUUAGGGAAGAGCAAGUGCUAGUUGAAUAAGCUGGCACCUUGACGGUACCUAACCAGAAAGCCACGGCUAACUACGUGCCAGCCGCCGCAGUAA